UACGUAGGGUGCGAGCGUUGUCCGGAAUUAUUGGGCGUAAAGAGCUUGUAGGCGGUUUGUCGCGUCUGCUGUGAAAAUCCGGGGCUCAACCCCGGACUUGCAGUGGGUACGGGCAGACUAGAGUGUGGUAGGGGAGACUGGAAUUCCUGGUGUAGCGGUGGAAUGCGCAGAUAUCAGGAGGAACACCGAUGGCGAAGGCAGGUCUCUGGGCCACUACUGACGCUCAUGCACGAAAGCGUGGGGAGCAAACAGG
rnacentral:rRNA from 1 species